CAAAGAUUAGUACUGAGCGAACACGCCAUAUUUUGGCCUUUUUACACGACAUCUAUAAGAGCAUUCCAAAGCCAUUUAGUCAUAUUGAAAACAGCUUUCAAAUUGGAAAGUUUGAUGAAAAAAUUGAAAGGGGUAAUUCUUGAGCAGGACAUGAAUAUCACUUGAUGUUGUGUCAUUUACGAAUAUUCUUAUUAAUAUAACUUUGGAGAGUUUGGAUAACAGAUAUGGACAAAGACACAUGUCUAAGCGACAAAGUUUAUAUAAUUUGUAAUUUUAAUUAUACGUAACAGGAUGAAGGUUUAGUACAACCGGUAAGUUUUUUAAAUUGAAUGCAUGUAGAAAGCGGUUUUGUUAAAAUGAAACUUUGUAUUUAGAUCUUAUAAAUCUUGAUUUGUUAAGAAGAGCCGUUCACAUCUAAUGAAAAACUACUUGAGGUUGACUAAUUGCGUCUACAUUACAAUAAUUGCAUUUAAAUUUUAGAAUAUUAUGCUGAACGUUAUACUGAAGAAUGAAGAUGGCUGAAAAAAGCAGCCGAAACGUCGGAAAUAUACAAGUGAAAAAUAAAGAAGAAUUGUAAUGUACAAUACAUUAAUAAUAACUGUGUGUACUAACUCUUAGUUGCCUAUUGUUUUUGUAAUAUUGGAGUUAAAAUGUUAUCAAUAAAUAAUUGAAAUGAAAUUAAAAUUUA